GAAUUUGGUUUGGUUUUUAAGAAAAUCCUUCUAAUUUUUUUAUACUAUUUUUAAAAAAAAAAAAUUAAAGUAGAAAAUUUAUUUUAUGUAAUAAUAAAAAAUUAUUAAGAAUUAGAAAAAUAAUCUAGCUAAAUUUGUGCCAGCAGCAGCGGUUAAACAAAUAGAAAAAUUCUUUCUUUAAGAAAUUUAACGAAUUAUUAUAAAAACUUAUUAAAAAAUCAAGGUAAAAUUUUUUUUUUUAAGAUAAUAAAAAUAUAAUUGAAAUUCUAAAAUUAAACUAGGAUUAGAUACCCUAUUAUUUAAGAGGUAAAUAUUGUUAGUAAAUAAAAAUUACGAAAGCAAAAAAUUAUGGCGGUAUUUUAAGCUUUUCAGAGGAAUUUGCUCUUUAAUGGAUAAAACACCUGAAUCUUACUUAAAUUUGUUAAUUCAAUUUGUAUACCACUAUAAAAACAAUUAAUAACUUUAAUUGUUUAAACUUAUUAAAUUAAAUUAUAUUAAGUCAAGGUGCAGUAAAAAUUUAAGAAUGAAGUGAAUUACAUUUCUUUUUAGAGAAAGAAAUUUAAAUAAUAUUUAGGAUUUGAAAGUAAAAUUGAAAUAGAAUGUCAAUUUGAAUUAAGCUCUAAAAUAUGUACAUAUCGCCCGUCACUCUUUUAUAAGAUAAGUCGUAACAAAGUUAAAGUACUGGAAAGUG
rnacentral:ncRNA from 1 species